AAGAGUGUAGCUUGCCCUUCAAAGUCUUUGCUUGUUGUGUCGGAACUCUUCCUAAAAUAAUCCUACAAAAGAACUCGAGAAAAAAACCAUUAGCUAAAAACCACAAAGGGAAAAAAGUCACCUAUCUAGUCGGGGUUGUCGAUCAUCUUAUCAUCCUCCAAGGUCCUCCUUGCACUAUGGGAAUCUAGAUACCCUCAAUGCCUUUUUCAUAUUUUCCUUCUCUCGAUCAAGAACUCCUUUAAAUGCCCACCCUUCACUAGUUCGACGAUCACUUCUCAAAAGUGGCGGUAGUCCCCUGUGUCAUGACCAUGCGUUUCACGGAUGAUUGGUGAGUUUAUAAUUAUUAUAUAUGGAUUAUAUACAAGCUUUAAAUCAAUUGGAAACAACAUCAAAAGGCUUGGAGUGGAUGGAAAAAAGCAUGGGACAAGACUUGAUCGAAAAUGGACAUUUUGGAGUCAUUGACGUGCCAUGGACCUUGGACACCGUGUUAGGGUCCAUGACACAACCUUGGGGGCAUACUAAAUGACUAAUUCCAAUGUUUCACCAUUAUAAGGAUGUUCCGUACCCUAGUCACCGUGAUAAGGGGCGUGGCAUUGACCUAAGUUCAAAUCAGCAACUUUUGUCCUCCUAUAAAUAGGACCCUUAAAGGCUUAAACAUUAUGUUACACACCUUGGAUGAAUUUAAAACUUUUAUGGGGGGUUGGGGAACACUUAAAUCAGGGUUUAUAUUCCAUUAAUUUGGUUUGUUUAUGUAUUUUAACAUGUAUUCGAUCAUUGCGAUUA